UACGAAGGGGGCUAGCGUUGCUCGGAAUCACUGGGCGUAAAGGGUGCGUAGGCGGGUCUUUAAGUCAGGGGUGAAAUCCUGGAGCUCAACUCCAGAACUGCCUUUGAUACUGAGGAUCUUGAGUUCGGGAGAGGUGAGUGGAACUGCGAGUGUAGAGGCGAAAUUCGUAGAUAUUCGCAAGAACACCAGUGGCGAAGGCGGCUCACUGGCCCGAUACUGACGCUGGGGCACGAAAGCGUGGGGAGCAAACAGG
rnacentral:rRNA from 1 species